GUGAACACAGGGCCAUAGACUUUUGACAACUGCAAAGGAUUUGCUGAUGUCCUUAAAAUUUAACUGCAGUAUAUUUCCAAUAAUUGGGAGAGGAGUGGGGCCAGGAGGG